GUUCGGUUCUGUCAUCAUCAAUAUCUCUAACCCUAAACACCACCAUCGAUGCUAUUUGAGGAAGUUCCUCCCCCACCCAAUUACAUCAGAGGAGCCCUAAAUUCUCCCCGCCACCAUACAUUUUGGUUUCAUGAUUUCCAGGAGGGCGACACCAUCAAUUUCUUUCCAAAAUUCGAACACAAGGUUCUUGAGGAGAAGCAUAAAUCAUUAAUAUCUUAAAUUACUUUCACUGAGUCAGGUACGGAGUACGAACUAAAUAAAAUCCAAAGUACCAAGGCAGAACUCAGUCAGGUACAUGAAAAAAAAACCACAAGCAAAAGCUUCAUACACUCCAAACGGCCACUAAAAGGAAGGUAUUAGAUCUAUCACCAAUAACACUUACUCAACAACUAAAAUGAUGAAUCUUCAGUAGGUUGAACAAGAUCCACAAUCAUCACCGAUAAGACCAAGACAUCUGCAAAGAAAGUGAAAUACAAGUGUUAUGGGUUUGAAUUUGUUGGAUGUUGAGACAAUGAUGUUUUCUGCGUUGCAGACCGCUUGCAUUUUGUAUUAAUAGCGAUUGAGAUAUCUUGAUAAAAUCGUGAUGCAAGUAAGGAGCUAUUGAUUUUUUACACACGAACUAAUUUGAAGCAGGUAUGCUCUGUGCUUUUUAUCACUGUAUUUUUUGUACAUUUUUGCUCUAAUUUUAGAUGAUUUCAGAUUCGUCUGUUGUGGUGUACUUAUUGGAGUUGUUUGAUCAACAAUGUGGUUUUUUGAAGCUUUUGUAGUACAUAGCCUAAUAUGUAUUCAAGUAUAUGCAGUAAACAACCUAAUCCACCAAAAUUGAUCAAUAACGUAGGUUUAUAUUUGUUCUUUGACAUCACAAGAACCUGCAACAGGAAAGUUAGUUAAUGCAUUUUCUUUUUUCAUUGUUGUUAUAUAAUUAUUUAUGAUGCAUGCGUAAGACACAAUCAUUUGAAGACCGUCUUUGGGAAGCUUGGGCAUGUUUGUGAUCUUCAUCAACUCAUCUGAAACAAAGAACUAGGGUUGAACGUGUUAUUGGUUUUGUUCUUGCUAUAUGGGGAAUUUUGUUUUAUUCUCGCCUCUUGGGAAUAAUGACCGAACGAUUUAGGGAAGUGAGAACAGUUAAGGAAUUAACCAUGACUAACCUGCAACAUGAGAUGCAAGAGAUUGAAGACAGUGGUCUCAUCAAUCAUUCAUUUCCACCGCCUCCCGCUUCUUCCGUUUUCUCCACCAGCGCAAUGGUCUCAUCGUAACUUACACAAUCUAAAUUGAAAUCAAGAGGUUGCUGAGGACACUAACAGUUAAUUAUCGAUCAAUUUGCUCUCUAAAGUCUCGAGUUUUUCCAUUAUCGAUCGAUUCCUCUUUUCUAAUUCUAUUCUUCUGCCGACUACCCUUUGAACCUAAUCCUCACUCUGUUGAUUGACAAUUCAUGGAUGGACCAACGAUUGACGUCGACUUGUUCGGAAUCGGCGACUCUUGAAGAUGAAUCUGCAACCGCUUCAAUUGGAUUCGGUAGGCUUUUGUCAUAAUUUAGUCAUGAUUCAUCUUCUCACCUUUUUCGUUUCUCCCUUGCUGUUGUGACCAUCAGAAGCUACCAUCUGUCUAGUGUUUUUAUUUUUGGGUUCUCGGUAACCAACGGUGAAGACAAGCUUUUGACUAAUCAAAAUCGGCUUCCUGUAUACAUCAAAAUUGGAUUACAGAGUAAGGUGCUGUUUGUUUUUUGGAAAAAACAUCUUCAGACCUCUUAUUGCUGUGCGGCGCAACACACGUGCAACACUUUUCAUCUCGUAGUUGUUUGUUUUUUAGAAGUCUUUGGAUUAAAAAACCUCUGCGAGUGUUCUUCUUGGCGCAACACUUGUUUUGCCUCUUCCUACAUCUUCCAACCUAUUUUUCUUUUUUUUUUUUCUUACUAAAAUAUUGAUUGUAUAUUGCUGAAA